GAUGAACGCUGGCGGCGUGCCUAAUACAUGCAAGUCGAGCGAACAGACGAGGAGCUUGCUCCUCUGACGUUAGCGGCGGACGGGUGAGUAACACGUGGAUAACCUACCUAUAAGACUGGGAUAACUUCGGGAAACCGGAGCUAAUACCGGAUAAUAUAUUGAACCGCAUGGUUCAAUAGUGAAAGACGGUUUUGCUGUCACUUAUAGAUGGAUCCGCGCCGCAUUAGCUAGUUGGUAAGGUAACGGCUUACCAAGGCAACGAUGCGUAGCCGACCUGAGAGGGUGAUCGGCCACACUGGAACUGAGACACGGUCCAGACUCCUACGGGAGGCAGCAGUCGGGAAUCUUCCGCAAUGGGCGAAAGCCUUACGGAGCAACGCCGCGUGAGUGAUGAAGGUCUUCGGAUCGUAAAACUCUGUUAUUAGGGAAGAACAAAUGUGUAAGUAACUAUGCACGUCUUGACGGUACCUAAUCAGAAAGCCACGGCUAACUACGUG
rnacentral:rRNA from 1 species